rnacentral:rRNA from 1 species
CCUACGGGUGGCAGCAGUGGGGAAUAUUGCACAAUGGGGGAAACCCUGAUGCAGCGACGCCGCGUGCGCGAAGAAGUAUUUCGGUAUGUAAAGCUCUAUCAGCAGGGAAGAAAAUGACGGUACCUGAGUAAGAAGCUCCGGCUAAAUACGUGCCAGCAGCCGCAGUAAUACGUAGGGAGCAAGCGUUAUCCGGAUUUACUGGGCGUAAGGGGAGCGUAGGCGGCUUGCCAAGUCUGAUGUGAAAUACCGGGGCUCAACCCCGGGGCUGCGUUGGAAACUGGCGGUCUGGAGUGCCGGAGGGGCAGGCGGAAUGCAUAGUGUAGCGGUGAAAUGCGUAGAUAUUAGACGGAACACCAGUGGCGAAGGCGGCCUGCUGGACGGUGACUGACGCUGAGGCUCGAAAGCGUGGGGAGCAAACAGGAUUAGAUACCCGGGUAGUC